UCCACCCACAUUCAACAUGAAAGAGUUCAGUCCAGUGAGGUCUGUUAGGAAAAACAGCCUUUCGAACCACAACCCAGGUAUUUCCCGGAGCAAGACCCCGGUGGACGACCCAAUGAGUCUGCUGUACAAUAUGAACAACUGUUACUCCAAGCUCAAGGAGCUGGUGCUCAGCAUCCCCCAAAACAAGAAGGUGAGCAAGAUGGAAAUCCUGCAGCACGUCAUUGACUACAUCUUGGACCUGCAGAUUGCCCUGGAUUCGCACCCCACUAGUGUCAGCCUUCACCACCAGAGGCCCAAGCAAAACCCGUCCUCCAGGACACCACUGACCACCCUCAGCAGACAUUAGUAUUCUGUCCUUACAGACUUCAGAAUUCCCGUCCGAGUUAAUGUCAAAUGACAGCAAAGCACUCUGUGGUUAA